UUUCAUUUGCUUCUCUUUUCACUUCGGCCUCUUCUUAUCUCCUUCUCAUACAAAUUGCAUUUUCUUUUUCACUCUUCGCUCGAUCUAUGAUUCUCAACUUAAAUUCGCUGUGUAGAUCGCCAUAGCAAGCAGCAGAAAUCCAAUAACGGCAGGAGCUAAAAGUAAUCUGAGGUUACCAUGGUUGAAAUCUCAAAAGAUGAUUAUACUUCAAAGCCUAGAGUUGGUGUGAGAAAAUCUUGGGUACAUGAGCACUUCGAUAUAAUAGAAUUUGUGGCUAGAGCCAAGUGUAAGCAUUGUCCAAAGGGUCAAGGUAUAUACAAGUUUGGUGAUAAAUCAUAUGGGACUGCUAAUCUUAGUCGUCAUCUGGAGAACUGCAAUGAAUAUAAGAAAAUAGUAAAAAGGAACCAAGAGAUCGAACACUUGAUAUUCAACCUUGCAAUAUGAGAGAAGAUUUUGCUGCUUGGUGAGCUUAUUUUGGUGUUAAGGCUUGCAGGAUUUCAGUUUCAGUUGCAUACUUGUAGUAUUAAAACUUGAAUUUGUUGUAAAACUUUAAAUGUUUGAAUUUAUAUUUUAAGAUAAUUGAA